UUUUUUUGUAACAGCUUUAUUGUGAUAUAAUUCAUAUACCAUAAACCUCACCCUUUCAAAAAAGUGUACAAUUCAGUGGUAUUUAUGAUAUUCACAGAUCUGUGCAACCAUCACCAUUAUCUAAUUUUAGAACAUCUCCAUAACCCCAAAAGGAAACCCCAUCCCCAUUAGCAACUACUUCCACUACCCCUAGGUCCUGGAAACUACUAACCUACUUCCUGUCUUUAGGAUUUGCCUAUUCUGGACUUUUUAUGUAAACUGAAUUAUAUGGUAUGUGGCUUUGAUUUCUUGCGGUAACAUAUAAAUAAGACUGACUAUUUAACCAUGUUAAGUGUACAGUUCAGUGGCAGUAAGUACAUACGCGCUGCCGUACAGCCAUGACCAUUAUCCGUCUCCAGAACUUUUUCAUUAUCCCAUAAUAAAACUCUGGGCGUUCCUGCUGUGGGGCAAGGAGAUCCGCAGUGUCUCUGCAGCACCAAGUCACAGGUUCAAUCCCUGGCCCAGCACAAUGGAUUAAAGGUUCUGGCACUGCCACAGCUGUGGCAGAGGGUGCAAUGCAGCUCAGAACUGAUCCCUGGCCCAGGAACUUCAUAUGCCAUGGGACGGCCAAAAAUGAGAAAACAACAACUCUUGUGUACCCAUUAAAUAAUCUCUCUCCAUUCGCCUCUUCCCUCAGCCUCCAGUAACCUCUAUUUUACCUCUAUCUCUAUAAAUUUGCCUCUUUUAGGGAGUUCAUAUAAGUGGAAUCAUAUACUUUUUGUCCCUUUUGUGUCUGGCUUAUUCACCCAGGAUAAUGUCUUCAAAGUUCAUCCAUGUGGUAGCAUGUAUUGGGGUCUCCUUCCUUUCCAAGGCUGGAUAAUAUUCCAUUGUGUGCAUAUCCUAAAUUUUGUUUAUCCAUUCAUCUGUCAAUGGAAGCUUGGGUUGCUUGGGCCUUUUGGCUAUUGUGACUAAUGCUGCUCUAAUGUGGGUAUACAAAUAUCUGUUUGAGUUCCUGCUUUCAACUCUUUUGGUUAUUUACCCUGAAGUGGAAUUGAUGGAUCAAGUAAUUUUACGUUAGUUUUUUGAGGCACUGCCAUACUCUUUUCCGCAGAAGCUGCACCAUUUUAUAGUCCCACUAGAGAGGCGCAAGGGUUCCAAUUUCUCCAUAUCCUUGCCAACACUUGUUUUGUUUGUUUGUUUGUUUUUUUAAUGAGAGCCAUCUCAGUGGCUAUGAAGUGAUGUUCCGUUGUGGUUUGGAUUAGCCCCUUCCUAAUGAUUGGUAAUGUUGAGCAUCUUUUUAACUGCCUAUUGGCCAUUUGCAUAUCUUCUUUGUAGACAUGUUUAUUCAAGUCCUUUGCUCAUUUUUUAAUCAGGUUGUUUGCUUUUUGUUGUUGAGUUUAUAGGCAUUCUUUAUAUAUUCUGGACAUUAAUCCCUGAUCAGACAUGCUAAUUUUGAGUGGCUGGUAGGGUAUCCAUUUAAAAAUAGCCAACAGGGAGUUCCCGUCGUGGCGCAGUGGUUAACGAAUCCGACUAGGAACCAUGAGGUUGCGGGUUCGGUCCCUGCCCUUGCUCAUGGGUUAACGAUCCGGCGUUGCCGUGAGCUGUGGUGUAGGUUGCAGACGCGGCUCGGAUCCCGCGUUGUUGUGGCUCUGGCGUAGGCCGGUGGCUACAGCUCCGAUUCAACCCCUAGCCUGGGAACCUCCGUAUGCCGCGGGAGCAGCCCAAGAAAUAGCAACAACAACAACAACAAAAGACAAAAAUAAAUAAAUAAAUAAAUAAAAAAUAAAAUAAAAUAAAAAUAAAAAUAGCCAACAGGCAAAUGAAAGUGCUUAUCUUGAAUUCAAGCAGGAGAAACAGCAAUGUGGUUUAACUGUCAUAUUUGCACAGUGACAUUUAAAAGUCCUUUCAUAUAUAUUAAUUUAGGAUCUCCCCCAAAUCCUGACACUUUAACAGAUGAGAAAACUCAGACAGAUCUCCUGACUUCAAACCCCAAGAUUAAAAUUAUUUGGAAGUGGCUCAGGGAUCAAAGGUAAGAAGCUGUCCAAGCUGACUGAGUUCUGGACCCCAUCCCAAUUCCCAAAACAGCUCAAAUUUUUCUGCUGCAAAAACCAGAAUAUCAUCUAUGACUCCCUUUGAAAAUAAGCAGACUGUGGUGAUCUAUGUGGGAAGCGAAUCUGAGAGAGAAUGGAUGUGUGUCUAUGGAUGACUGGGUCACUUUGUUGUACAGCAGAAAUUAUUACAGCCUUGUAAAUUAGCCAUACUUCAAUGAAACUUAAAAAAAAAGAUAAGCAGAGUUGCUUUAAACAAAUUUGAAACCACUAUAUUAUAGGAUGCUAUCUUAUGUUCACAAAACAGCAACUGAAGCUCUAGAAAUAACACUGCUUAAUUAGAAAACUUGAGGCAAGAAGGUAAUCCUAAUUUCGUGGGAUAAAAGAAUGAAAAAAGAAGGCAGAAAGACAACCAAAGUCUAGGAAGAAGAAUUUCAAGAGGAAGAUUCCGUCGACUGCAGAAGAUUCGGUACAGAGGUCCUGAAGGAUGAGGACUGGAAGAAGAACACCGUGUUUCCCACGAGGUCACUGGUAACCUUUACGCGACCCAUUUUAAUACACUGAGCGAAAAGCCCCCAGUGACGGCAAGGAGGCUGAAGCAGGAAAAGUAACAUAUAUGAAAUACCCAACAAUUUUGGUAAAAUAACUGAAUGUUUUUGGCCAUGCCCAUGGUAGGUAGACGUUCUGGGGCCAGGGACUAAAUCUAAGCCAUAGCAGUGAGGAGGCCAGAUUCUUAACCACUGGGCCACCAGGAAACUCCAAUAAUAGUGAAUAUUUACAUAAUUCUUAAUAAGUGCCAGGCCUUGUUUUAAAUACUUAACAUAUUAAUUAACUUAUCCUCAAAACGACCAUUAGUACCAUCAUUCUAUUCACAGUUGAGGAAACGGAGACAUAGUGAGGAGCCAGGAUUCUGAGGCCACCUGCUGGAUACUCCUACAUAUACGCAAUAAUAUAUAAUAUAACCAUUUUACAUAUAUCAUAAUAUACGAGGUGAUACAUAUGGCAGAUACAUGCAAAUAUAUGUGACAGUAAAAAGUACAAUAAUAUUGAAAAUACAGCCCAUAAAAACUGAAUCACUGUGUUGUGUACCUGAAACUAAUAUAAACUGUAAAUCAACUAUAUUUUAUUUUAUUUUUUUGUCUUUUUAAGUCCGCACCCACGGCAUA
rnacentral:lncRNA from 1 species